ACAUACGACCAUAGGGUGUGGAGAACAGGGCUUCCCGUCCGCUCAGCCGUACUUAAGCCACACGCCGGCAGGUUAGUAGUUGGGUGGGUGACCACCAGCGAAUCCCUGCUGUUGUAUGCU
rnacentral:rRNA from 1 species